rnacentral:tRNA from 1 species
GGGAUGUUAAGUUGCGAGGGAAAGGACUCUUAAUCCGUCGGUCGAAGGUUCGAAUCCUUCACGGCCCA